GGGGGCGUAGCUCAGCUGGCUAGAGCACCUGCUUUGCAAGCAGGGGGUCGUGGGUUCGAGUCCCAUCGCCUCCACCG
rnacentral:tRNA from 1 species